ACGAGUGGCGGACGGGUGAGUAAUGUCUGGGAAACUGCCUGAUGGAGGGGGAGUAACUACUGGAAACGGUAGCUAAUACCGCAUAACGUCGCAAGACCAAGAGGGGACCUUCGGGCCUCUUGCCAUCGGAUGUGCCCAGAUGGGAUUAGCUAGUAGGUGGGGUAACGGCUCACCUAGGCGACGAUCCCUAGCUGGUCUGGGAGGAUGACCAGCCACACUGGAACUGAGACACGGUCCAAACUCCUACGGGAGGCAGCAUG
rnacentral:rRNA from 1 species